AAAAGGAGAUGUGCGGAGGCUCAGCUUUUAAAGCUGCGAAGGUGGAUUCUUGUAAAAGUUCUAGAUUCUCUAUAAUCCCCACUGGCAGAAAGGAGCUGGUCUCACUGUUGGUGAGGAGCACGAGCAAGUUUUUUUCUAAACUGUCUCUGUAUGGUUAUGUAACGAAGCAUAUGAGCAAAGCAAACCGGAUGGAUUUACUUUCUGCUGCAAUUCUGUACUGGAACUGGGGUAAAAUUGAAA